UCACCACUCUGUGCCUCAGUUUCCAAGUCAUUACUGUGGGGGAGAUCACAGCAGCGACUUCACAGGGAGAAGCUGGACAGCUAAAUGAAAUUUCCCACCUUCCCUGGAGCUAUGGGAAGCCAUGUGACACAUUUCUGUCCAGUGAGAUGAGAAUGUCGGUUCCCGUAGGGAAAGGAUUCUGUUUUGUUCAUUCCUGAAGCCCCAGCGCCUAGAACAUCACAGAAGGGGUUUAAAUGCAUAUUUACUGUUAUGGUCGGGAAGCACAAGGGAAGACUGAGGAACCAUUUUAGCCUGGAGAAGAUGAAGCAGGCAGGACAACCACACAGUGUGGCAUCCUGAGUAGGAUCCUGGCAUAGAAGAGGGUCACUGGCGGAAAAGUAGCAAAACAUGACUAAACCCUGUGAUUUAGUUCAUCCUACUGGGCCAGUGCUCAUUUCCUGGUUCUGGUAAUCGUGACAAGGUACAUUAAGAUGGUAACGUGAGGGGACACUGCGUGAAGGGUCAACAUGUGAAUUUUCCAUACAUUUUCUGUGACUUUUUUGAAAUCUAAAA